rnacentral:rRNA from 1 species
AGUGAACGCUGGCGGUAGGCCUAACACAUGCAAGUCGAACGGCAGCACAGUAAGAGCUUGCUCUUACGGGUGGCGAGUGGCGGACGGGUGAGGAAUACAUCGGAAUCUACUUUUUCGUGGGGGAUAACGUAGGGAAACUUACGCUAAUACCGCAUACGACCUACGGGUGAAAGCAGGGGAUCUUCGGACCUUGCUCGAUUGAAUGAGCCGAUGCCGGAUUGGCUAGUUGGCGGGGUAAAGGCCCACCAAGGCGACGAUCCGUAGCUGGUCUGAGAGGAUGAUCAGCCACACUGGAACUGAGACACGGUCCAGACUCCUACGGGAGGCAGCAGUGGGGAAUAUUGGACAAUGGGCGCAAGCCUGAUCCAGCCAUACCGCGUGGGUGAAGAAGGCCUUCGGGUUGUAAAGCCCUUUUGUUGGGAAAGAAAAGCAGCAGGUUAAUACCCCGCUGUUCUGACGGUACCCAAAGAAUAAGCAACGGCUAACUUCGUG